rnacentral:rRNA from 1 species
AUUGAACGCUGGCGGCAUGCCUUACACAUGCAAGUCGAACGGCAGCACGGGAGCAAUCCUGGUGGCGAGUGGCGAACGGGUGAGUAAUAUAUCGGAACGUGCCCAGUCGUGGGGGAUAACGUAGCGAAAGCUACGCUAAUACCGCAUACGAUCUAUGGAUGAAAGCGGGGGAUCGCAAGACCUCGCGCGAUUGGAGCGGCCGAUAUCAGAUUAGGUAGUUGGUGAGGUAAAGGCUCACCAAGCCGACGAUCUGUAGCUGGUCUGAGAGGACGGACAGCGACACUGCGACAGAGGCACGGACCGGGCUCCUACGGGAGGCAGCAGUGGGGAAUGUUGUGCUAUGUGCGCAAGCCUGAUCCAGCAAUGCCGCGUGCAGGAUGAAGGCCUUCGGGUUGUAAACUGCUUUUGUACGGAGCGAAAAGGCUUCCACUAAUACUGGGGGCUCAUGACGGUGCCGUAAGAAUAAGCGCCGGCUAACUACGUGCCAGACGCCGCGGUAA